AGAGCACGUAGGUGGGUUUGUAAGUCAGAUGUGAAAGCCUUCUGUUCAACGGAAGAAUUGCAUCUGAAACUGCUAAUCUUGAGUAUAGGAGGGGAGAAUGGAACUUCUGGUGGAGCGGUGAAAUGCGUAGAUAUCAGAAGGAACGCCGGCGGCGAAAGCGAUUCUCUGGCCUAUUACUGACACUCAGUGUGCGAAAGCUAGGGAGCAAACGGGAUUAGUACCCCGGAGCCAGGCAGUU
rnacentral:rRNA from 1 species